rnacentral:rRNA from 1 species
CUGCGUGGAAGGGCCAUCGCUCAACGGAUAAAAGCUACCCUGGGGAUAACAGGCUUAUCUCCCCCAAGAGUCCACAUCGACGGGGAGGUUUGGCACCUCGAUGUCGGCUCAUCACAUCCUGGGGCUGCAGUAGGUCCCAAGGGUUGGGCUGUUCGCCCAUUAAAGUGGUACGCGAGCUGGGUUCAGAACGUCGUGAGACAGUUCGGUCCCUAUCCGUCGCAGGCGUAGGAAAUUUGAGAAGACCUGUCCUUAGUACGAGAGGACCGGGAUGGACGUACCUCUGGUGUACCAGUUGUCCUGCCAAGGGCAUGGCUGGGUAGCUAUGUACGGAAUGGAUAAGCGCUGAAAGCAUCUAAGCGCGAAGCCAACUUCAAGAUAAGAUUUCCCACCGCAAGGGUAAGACCCCAGAAAGACUAUCUGGUUGAUAGGUCGAAGGUGUAAGUGCAGCAAUGUAUUUAGCUUAUCGAUACUAAUAGGUCGAGGACUUGACCAAU